GUGCGCACCAGCAGUAGGUGCAGUCAGAUUAUAGCCUCUCCCUCGUGGUUCCGGUGCUCAGUUAGUGAGUCAGAGCACAGGCUCAGAGAUUCUCAGCCUGCGCUCUGACAACAUUGAAAGUCAGAGCCGUGAAGGAGCGGGUAUGGCAAAGAGCUACUGAUUAGCAUAACAUCAAUAUCCGUUAUAAAACCAGGAAAAGGUGGACACCAUUGCACUGAUUUGGU
rnacentral:lncRNA from 1 species